rnacentral:rRNA from 1 species
UACAGAGGUCUCAAGCGUUGUUCGGAUUCAUUGGGCGUAAAGGGUUCGUAGGCGGUGUGGCAAGUCGGGAGUGAAAUCUCUGGGCUCAACCCAGAGACUGCUUCCGAAACUGCUGUGCUUGAGUGUGAGAGAGGCUCGUGGAAUUGCAGGUGUAGCGGUGAAAUGCGUAGAUAUCUGCAGGAACACCCGUGGCGAAAGCGGCGAGCUGGAUCACUACUGACGCUGAGGAACGAAAGCUAGGGGAGCAAACAGG